UGAAUACGAGACGCUAAGGCGUCGAAGUAGUGUAUGUCAUACUUCCAAGAAAAGCUUGCACUGUCAUAGAUAAAAAACGCCUGUACCAUAACCGACACAGGUGGGUAGGUAGAGUAUACUAAGGGGCGCGAGAUAACUCUCUCUAAGGAACUCGGCAAAAUAACUCCGUAACUUCGGGAGAAGGAGUGCCUUAUUCUUAAGGUUGCAAUAACAAGAUCCAAGCAACUGUUUAUCAAAAACACAGGUCUCCGCUAAGUCGUAAGACGAUGUAUGGGGGCUGACGCCUGCCCAGUGCCAGAAGGUUAAAGAAGCUGGUUAGCAUUUGCGAAGCUAGUAACUGAAGCCCUGGUGAACGGCGGCCGUAACAAUAACGGUCCUAAGGUAGCGAAAUUCCUUGUCGGGUAAGUUCCGACCCGCACGAAAGGCGUAAUGAUUUGGAUACUGUCUCGGAGAGGGGCUCGGUGAAAUAGACUUGUCUGUGAAGAUGCGGACUACCUGCACCAGGACAGAAAGACCCUAUGAAGCUUUACUGUAACUUGAAAUUGAAAUUGGACUUUAUUCGCGCAGUAUAGGUGGGAGGCGUUGAUUAUAAUCUUGCGGGAUUAUUGGAGCCAUUAGUGAGAUACCACUCUUGUAAUGUUAGAUUUCUAACUUUGAAUCAUUAUCUGGUCAAAGAACAGUUUCAGGCGGGCAGUUUGACUGGGGCGGUCGCCUCCUAAACGGUAACGGAGGCGUACAAAGGUUUCCUCUGAACGGUUAGAAAUCGUAUCUAGAGUGUAAAGGCAUAAGGAAGCUUGACUGUGAGACCUACAAGUCGAGCAGGGACGAAAGUCGGUCUUAGUGAUCUGACGGUACUGAGUGGAAAGGCCGUCACUCAACGGAUAAAAGUUACUCUAAGGAUAACAGGCUGAUCUCCCCCAAGAGUUCACAUCGACGGGGAGGUUUGGCACCUCGAUGUCGGCUCAUCGCAUCCUGGGGCGGUAGUACGUCCCAAGGGUUGGGCUGUUCGCCCAUGAAAGCGGUACGCGAGCUGGGUUCAGAACGUCGUGAGACAGUUCGGUCCAUAUCCGGUGUAGGCGUUAAAUAUUGAGAGGAGCCUUCUUUAGUACGAGAGGACCGAGAAGGACAUACCUCUGGUGUACCAGUUAUCGUGCCAAUGGUAAACGCUGGGUAGCUAUGUAUGGAGUGGAUAACCGCUGAAAGCAUCUAAGUGGGAAGCCCACCUCAAGAUAAGUAUUCUCA
rnacentral:rRNA from 1 species